rnacentral:lncRNA from 1 species
AGAUCACUUUAUUUUCAAGGAGUAAGGGGAAUGGUAAUGGGGUAGAUUUAACAGCAAAUGAACCACUGCACAAAACUGAAAGGAUUUCUCCUAUGACAUUUAGUUUCACUUCUUUUCCAUUUAGGACACUAGCUGCUGUAAUCUCGGUACUACUUUUUUUUAAGUUAUCUUCCCCAAGCAGUGUUACAAUCCAGCUGGAAUGGGCAUUAGAUAUACACAUCAUUAGACUCUUAAAAAGAGGCCCGAUGGCCUCUCAUUUAACCAGAAUAUUAAAAAAGAAAAUAUAUGUACACACAUAUAAAUAUAUUUAAGUUCACACUUUUUUAUUUUUUAUUUAUUUAUUUAUUUAUUGAGACAGAGUUUCACUCUCGUUGCCCAGGCUAGAGUGCAAUGGCAUGAUCUCGGCUCACUGCAACCUCCACCUCCCGGGUUCAAGCGAUUCUCCCACCUCAGCCUCCUGAGUAGCUGGGAUGACAGGCAUGUGCCACCACACCUGGCUAUUUUUGUAUUUUUAGUAGAGAUGGGGUUUCAUCAUAUUGGUCAGGCUGGUCUUGAACUCUUGACCUCAGGUGAUCCGCCCACCUCGGCCUCCCAAAGUGCUGGGAUUACAGGCAUGAGCCACUAUGCCCGGCCCACAUUUUUUUAAAAAGUUAAAAUGUAAAAGCACUUUUAAGAGACAAGUUAGACAGAAGGUGGUGGAGUACAUUUUCUGCUCUCCUAGCUUCUGUGUCCUUUAAACUCCUGCCCUCAACCAUCCUCUUAUCGUCCACCACCUCCAUUCCCCUAGGAUUCCCAGGUCCCCUUAGCACUCAGGGGCUGUGGUCUCACCUUCAAAUGAAAAACAACAACUUCAAAAUUUUAUUUAUUGCACACUGAGGUGUCAAGAAUCCUAAGUACACUAAUACUACAUUGUAGACAUAAACCAGGUAGAAUAAUGCUUAACACAAGAAAAUAAAUACACUUGAAGUGGAAUUUCUGGCAUUAGUGACUAGCUGAUGUUAAAAAGCUGAAUUUACCCAGAAUCCACAGAGAUAAUGCUGAGCAGUUUUUUAGAAAGUUGGGGAGGCUUAUUUCUGUUGUUUCCCUUGGGUGUUUAUUUCCCUGUACCUCUCUCAGUCAUCACUAUUUCCUUGAACAGGGUCCAGAAACAGACUCAUUUCUGGCAUGUAACACAUGAAUAUAUAAAGGCGUACCAUAUUUAUUCUUGUCAAGUACCCUGAUUUACCAAUCUGCAAACUAAGUUUUCAGAUUGAUAAAUGUGAAACUGGAUUCAGUUAUUAAACUGGAUCAAGUUUCAAUCUGAAACUUAAUAACUGAAUCCAGGAAGUGUCAGUUAAAUGGUCUUAAUUAAAAUGAUAGUUGUUCAGAAUGGCAAAAUGAAUCAUACUGGAACACCAAAGGUCUGUUUUGCAUUCGCUGAAGAAAGGUUACUUUUAGUAGGAUAAUUCUAUAAAAUGUAACUUGCAUAGAAAGGCUUUAUUAUGGGUUCUGUCUGUCACAAAUAGCAUCAAAUCAAUCAUCUCAGUUCUGGAAUAUGAGAUUCACUACAUUAAAUUAAUACUUUCAUUCCAAAAUAGAAAUUCAUAUUUUAAACCACUGAAAUUGAUAUAAACCACUGCUUUAAUAUUGUAAACCUAAAUGUCCAACUAUAAUGACCAACUUAUCUAAUAAUGAAAACUGCAGUAGCAGAACUAUUAAGCAGAUCUUUAUAAUUAACUUAUGAAGACUAUUUAACAUAGAAAAAUAUUUAUAUGUAAAAAACACAGACCCAAAUUACAUAUUCUCUAUAAGUAUAUGGUUAAAAAACCUGCAAGAAAAUAUACCUAAAUGCUAAUGUUCAUUGCAUUCAGAUGAUAGAAUUAUGGAUUUUAUCCAUAGAUUUUUCUUCUAGAUUUUAUAGUUUUUAAAAAUUAUGAUGCCCCUUAUAUUUAUAUUGGGAAAUAUACAUUUAAACAAACUAUUAUUUGGCUACCAUGCUAAUAUUCACAACCAUGUGGCACUAGCCUAAAAUAAACUUUUCAGAAGAAACUAAAUUAUUCUAUCUAAAUAUUCUGGGAAACGUUUAAGUGAUAUUGGAAUCUCUAUCAAAAUUUCCACACCAGAGUGAAGAAAGACAAAUUAGAUGUGGGAUGAAAGUUGUUCUCACUGAUAAGUGAGAGCUAAAUGAUGAGAACACAUGGACACAUAAAGGGCAACAACACACACUGGGGUCUAUUGGAGGGUGGAGGGUAGGAGGAGGGAGAGGAUCAGGAAAAAUUACUAAUGGGUACUAGGCUUAACACCUGGGUGAUGAAAUCAUCUAUACAACAAACCCCCAUGACGUAAGUUUACCUAUGAAACAAACUGGCACAUGUACCCCUGAACUUAAAAGUUGUUAAAAAAAAAAUUUUUUUAAGAGAGAUGAAAGUGACUCAAGAAGCUGUGUCACCAAAUCUUUGAGAGCUAUGUCACCAAAUCAAAAAAUAACAGAAAACCAGACAAGAUCAUAAGAAAUCAUUUGCACAAUCAAGUGGCAUCAUUCCAAACCACUGGAGGAGCAAUGCCCGCUUUCUUUUUAAAAUUCUCCUGGGAAAAUUACUCCUCAGCCUCCUUUAUAAAUCCUUGAGGAAAUGUCAAGUUCUUUCACGACAAGAAAAACUCUCAGCUGGGCACAGUGGCUCACACCUGUAAUCCCAGCACUUUGGGAAGCUGAGACUAUAAUCCCUGCUGGGAUUACAGAUGUGAGCCAACAUCCCUGGCCUUAAUU